rnacentral:rRNA from 1 species
UGGCUCAGGAUGAACGCUGGCGGCGUGCCUAAUACAUGCAAGUCGAGCGAACGGACGAGAAGCUUGCUUCUCUGAUGUUAGCGGCGGACGGGUGAGUAACACGUGGAUAACCUACCUAUAAGACUGGGAUAACUUCGGGAAACCGGAGCUAAUACCGGAUAAUAUUUUGAACCGCAUGGUUCAAAAGUGAAAGACGGUCUUGCUGUCACUUAUAGAUGGAUCCGCGCUGCAUUAGCUAGUUGGUAAGGUAACGGCUUACCAAGGCAACGAUGCAUAGCCGACCUGAGAGGGUGAUCGGCCACACUGGAACUGAGACACGGUCCAGACUCCUACGGGAGGCAGCAGUAGGGAAUCUUCCGCAAUGGGCGAAAGCCUGACGGAGCAACGCCGCGUGAGUGAUGAAGGUCUUCGGAUCGUAAAACUCUGUUAUUAGGGAAGAACAUAUGUGUAAGUAACUGUGCACAUCUUGACGGUACCUAAUCAGAAAGCCACGGCUAACUACGUGCCAGCAGCCGCGGUAAUACGUAGGUGGCAAGCGUUAUCCGGAAUUAUUGGGCGUAAAGCGCGCGUAGGCGGUUUUUUAAGUCUGAUGUGAAAGCCCACGGCUCAACCGUGGAGGGUCAUUGGAAACUGGAAAACUUGAGUGCAGAAGAGGAAAGUGGAAUUCCAUGUGUAGCGGUGAAAUGCGCAGAGAUAUGGAGGAACACCAGUGGCGAAGGCGACUUUCUGGUCUGUAACUGACGCUGAUGUGCGAAAGCGUGGGGAUCAAACAGGAUUAGAUACCCUGGUAGUCCACGCCGUAAACGAUGAGUGCUAAGUGUUAGGGGGUUUCCGCCCCUUAGUGCUGCAGCUAACGCAUUAAGCACUCCGCCUGGGGAGUACGACCGCAAGGUUGAAACUCAAAGGAAUUGACGGGGACCCGCACAAGCGGUGGAGCAUGUGGUUUAAUUCGAAGCAACGCGAAGAACCUUACCAAAUCUUGACAUCCUUUGACAACUCUAGAGAUAGAGCUUUCCCCUUCGGGGGACAAAGUGACAGGUGGUGCAUGGUUGUCGUCAGCUCGUGUCGUGAGAUGUUGGGUUAAGUCCCGCAACGAGCGCAACCCUUAAGCUUAGUUGCCAUCAUUAAGUUGGGCACUCU